rnacentral:rRNA from 1 species
GAUGAACGCUAGCGGCAGGCCUAAUACAUGCAAGUCGAACGGUGUAGCAAUACACAGUGGCGCACGGGUGCGUAACACGUAUGCAACCUACCUAUCAUUGGGGGAUAGCCUUUGGAAACGGAGAUUAAUACCGCAUAAGACAGUAACAUGGCAUCAUGUAGCUGUUAAAGCUUUGGCGAUGAUAGAUGGGCAUGCGUCCAAUUAGUUAGUUGGUGAGGUAAUGGCUCACCAAGACGAUGAUUGGUAGGGGAUCUGAGAGGAUAAUCCCCCACACUGGCACUGAGAUACGGGCCAGACUCCUACGGGAGGCAGCAGUAGGGAAUAUUGGGCAAUGGACGGAAGUCUGACCCAGCCAUGCCGCGUGCAGGAUGAAGGCGUUAUGCGUUGUAAACUGCUUUUUUAUAGGAAGAAGGAGACCUUGCGAGGUUUGGUGACGGUACUAUAAGAAUAAGCACCGGCUAACUCCGUGCCAGCCGCCGCGGUAACAC